GUAAAGCGAAAUGGGGCUUCAAUAUUUCAUAAACGAAUAAACCUGCUAAGAGAACACAAUUUACAAGGCUGUCGGCUGCAGACUCCCGACGGCCCUCACACAUCUUUUCACUUUGGGAGCAUGUGGUGGUGACUGCGGGUGGUGGCCAGUGGGGCAUGCUGCCUGGUACCCCACUUGCCCCCCUCUUCCCGGGGUGCUUCCCAGGGAAGGGUGCAUUCUGUGAUUUUCCAUCCACUAAAUCCAGCUGCUGUCCAGGGACAGGGCCCUGCACUCUCUCCCCUCUUCCGCCUUCCUCUCAAGUCUUGGAUGCCUUUUAAAUGCCAGUCCAUCCUUGGCAGCUCUGAUUUUCCAAGGUCUGUUUCACGCAGGGAUGGGAUGCGUCAGAACUGAACUGCUUAGGAAUGGAGAAAGAAGGCUGGUAGAGGGGAUGGGUAGGGCCAGGGCAGCUUGGAGUUCAAGAGGCAGCUGAGCUGAGGGAGGCUGCGCCUGGUGCCAGGCCCACAGGCCCCUAAGGGGAGGCCAAGCAGCCCAGGGCAGCAGAAACCUGCUCCUAGAACAUACAGUGGGAGCAGAAGGGGGCCCCAGGGC
rnacentral:lncRNA from 1 species